UAGCAUCGAAUAUUCUUAAAAUAUUUUCUCGCAUAAUGCCUGGACAUCGGGCGGUGGACAUGCAACAUUACACAGUGUGACAGGUUUACAAAUGAAAAUCAACACUCAGACUUGUCAUUUUGUAGGACAAUAAAUGAACAAAAGACAAACCCGGAACACAGAAGUACAAACAAUAAACCAUCAACUCUGAAAACCAAAAGUAAAAUAGAAACAUGGAUUACGAAAAAUCUGCAGGGGCGAAAAUCAAAGAGUGAAGAGAAC
rnacentral:lncRNA from 1 species